ACUAUUUUGGCAGAUAAGUGCAAUAGAGUUAGAAUCUAUAAAUGUAAUUAAUGUUACAGAUAGUA
rnacentral:tRNA from 1 species